UUAGGAAUGAUUUUUUAAAUUAUUAAGUUUAUAAAACUGAAUUUUGGUGCCAUUUAUAAUCUUAGCCAAUGAAACAUGUUUAAAGCCUUUAAAUUGCACUUGUACACCUAAUAUGUUCAUUUUCUUUUUAAAAGAAAGCUGCCUUAGGAAAACUUCCUCAGGCAUUUGAAUCUUUUUUUAGAAUUCUAAUGACUUCUAAGUAUGGCGAGCUUAAGUUCUCAGAACGAUUUUCAUACCCUUGGCAAAUGUCGCGUAGGCUUUUGUAAAGGCCUCUGGUCCCAAGACGGAGUCACCUAGGUCAAACCCUAACAAAAUCAAGUCAGGACUGGGGCUGUGGCUCAGUGGCAGAGCGCUUGCCUGGCACGUGUGAGGCGCUGGGUUCGAUCCACAUACAAAUUAAUAGCAAAUAAAGAUACAAUAAUAACGGAGUGAGCACUAGUAAGCGCAGAGCUGGGAACCCCAACGACUCUGGUCCUGCGUGGACCCACGUGGACGCCCCAGCCCCAUGCGUCCUAGCAAGACCCCCAGGAGCCCCGCACGCGCCUCCAAGGCUGAGGAGCGCGGUGGAGGCCUUGAGUCCCGGGGCCUGCCUUCAGACCCCGCUCUGCCUUGCGCCAGCUGCUUACCUUGGGCAGGUGACUCUGGGGCGCAGUUUCCUCCUGUAGAAAAACGGGGUUAAUGAGCCAGGCGCCGUGGGGCACGCCUGCAAUCCCAGCCUGGCCAGUAGAGCGAGACCCUCAGCAACUUAGCGAGACCCUGUCUCAAUAAAUAAGAUAAAUAAAUAUAAUAUAAAGGACUGGGGAUGUGCCCCUGCAUUCGGUCGCCAGUGUGCACCCCCCACACACACCAAAAUGCGAAUCCUAGUAGCCUUUAGGGAGACCUAACGUGUUGCUGAGACCUCACCGUGUAGUAGCCAUUGAUAAGCUGUGGAGCCCAGCUGGCUAGGUCGCCUUCUCUGAGUGGGUGGGGCUUAAAGGCAAUUUAAUGAGAACCUCUAUUAACUACUUACUGUGGGUAAUCCUUGCUAAAUGCUUUACAAGGUUAUUCGCUGGGUGCUCCAUCAACAGCUCUGGGAGGGAGGCAGGCUCUCAUUAUCCCCGUUUUUGGAUGAGGAAAUGGGGGCCGGGAGAGAUGAAGUCAUUGUCCCGGGUUCCCACGGCUGGUGGACACAAUAUCUUCAUUUUAUUUUUAUGCGGUGCCGAGGGUCAAACCCAGGGCCUCACACAGGCUGGGCAAGCGCUGUACACUGAGCCACCACCCCAGCCCUUGAAUGUGACUUUUAAGCAAAACACCCAGCAGGUAUGGCAGCUCAGGGGACGAUGA
rnacentral:lncRNA from 1 species